CGUCGAAAUAUAUUGGACAUGGUGAACCUUCAAGUGGUCAGUCAGUUGUUCAACUAAAUGGUUACUUUAAGUACAUCCAUUGAUAAUAAUUGAUAAAGUUUCAGGCUUAUUGAAACGCUCUCAAUUCCGUUUCCUGGGCUUAGAACCAGAACUUGGGUGUCUUUGGAGGAAAUCAAAAGAACGCUCCUACGGUGGGGAUCGAACCCAUGAUCACCCGGUCGGUAGGCAGACACCUUAUCCAUUACACCACGGGGACCUCAGCUGGAUUCAGGAAGGUGAUGUGGUCGUUGUUGACAGAGGUUUCCGAGAUGCGUCAACUGUUCUCGAAGCUUGGUGUAACAGAUACGAUGGGUUGUCGAGUUAACCAAUGGCAGACUCAAGACAUGGACAUAUUUAGCCAGGACAAUGCAUAACACCCAAGUGCCAUUUAUUGGUGACUAUGUGCGAAUAGUUGGAGCAAUCUGUAACCGAUUCAGACCGGCUCUAAGUAGCGGGAGCCCUGAACACGACAAAAUAGUUGCAGAGAGGAUGUUGUAUUUGUCAGGGCACAGCAACGAUUUACAACAAUUCAUUUCUGACAACGUCAUAGAAAAAAUAACCAAGGCAUCUUGGAAACCGGUGGACGAAAUAGACAUUUACUGUCCAAUAAUGACCGAGGAUGAACUUAGAUGUCUUAUCGUAGGUGAAUACACAGUUAAGCUAGCGGCUUCUUAUACACAAGUACACAUGUCAAGUGACGGAAUAUACUCAAUUCACGGUUAUGUGCACAAUAGGAGUUUGCUGUGCUUGAAGUUCCAAAGUCGGCAUGUGUCCCGAAAGCAAUAUUGGUCUUACAUACGUUUCAAGGAGGGGUCAGUCGAUGCAUGGUUUUGCAGCUGCCCAGUGGGAAAACGUGUAGUUGGAACAUGUUUCCGGCAACACCAAGCUGAUCAACUGUCAGUUGGUCCGAGAAAUUGGGCUGCAGACAUCUCAGAUGCUGCUAACGUGUCGUAUUAAAUAACCAUGUUUGGGUAUUCAUAUAUAUAGCCUGCAUAAGCUGCAUUGGUGGCGUUAUUUAAAAAAAAAUGCGUACUUUAUUAUUUGUAAUCAUAUUUGUUUCAAAAAUGAAUAGUGAUUGUUUCUCACAGCGCUCAAUCCAAUUCAAUAUCACUCGUACAUCUUAUCAGUUUCUGCAGUACAUAUAUAAACGAGUCGGUGUUUAUGUCACGUCGUACUUAUUAGUGUAAGGUGUAAAAUCAUGAACAAUUUCAAUAUUGUUUCCUGCAUAGAUUAUUUAAUAAUAAUAAUUUAAUAAUAAAAAUUAUCACUCUCUGUCGGCACACCAGAAAUCUGUUCUUGCCAAAAAAUA